GAUGAACGCUAGCGGCAGGCUUAACACAUGCAAGUCGAGGGGUAUAGUUCUUCGGAAUUAGAGACCGGCGCACGGGUGCGUAACGCGUAUGCAAUCUACCUUUUACAGAGGGAUAGCCCAGAGAAAUUUGGAUUAAUACCUCAUAGUAUUAUGAAAUGGCAUCAUUUUAUAAUUAAAGUCACAACGGUAAAAGAUGAGCAUGCGUCCCAUUAGCUAGUUGGUAAGGUAACGGCUUACCAAGGCUACGAUGGGUAGGGGUCCUGAGAGGGAGAUCCCCCACACUGGUACUGAGACACGGACCAGACUCCUACGGGAGGCAGCAGUGAGGAAUAUUGGACAAUGGGCGCAAGCCUGAUCCAGCCAUGCCGCGUGCAGGAUGACGGUCCUAUGGAUUGUAAACUGCUUUUAUACAGGAAGAAACCCUGGUUCGUGAACCAGCUUGACGGUACUGUAAGAAUAAGGAUCGGCUAACUCCGUGCCAGCAGCCGCGGUAAUACGGAGGAUCCAAGCGUUAUCCGGAAUCAUUGGGUUUAAAGGGUCCGUAGGCGGUUUAGUAAGUCAGUGGUGAAAGCCCAUCGCUCAACGGUGGAACGGCCAUUGAUACUGCUAAACUUGAAUUAUUAGGAAGUAACUAGAAUAUGUAGUGUAGCGGUGAAAUGCUUAGAGAUUACAUGGAAUACCAAUUGCGAAGGCAGGUUACUACUAAUUGAUUGACGCUGAUGGACGAAAGCGUGGGUAGCAAACAGGAUUAGAUACCCUGGUAGACCACACCGUAUUCGAUGGAUACUAGAUGUUGGGAGCAACUUCAGAGGCUCAACGUAAGUGAUGAGUAUCCCCCCUGAGGAGUACGUUCGCAAGAAUG
rnacentral:rRNA from 1 species